rnacentral:lncRNA from 1 species
CCAGGGAGGCAGCCUGUUAGUAAUGAAGCCCGGGAAGGAACACCCUUUGGAUGUGCAGAUGGGCUUCAGCUCUACAGGGGAGGAAGAACUUCUGCAGUGGCUCAGCAGCCAGCUUGGAAGGAGGCUGGUCUCGCUGGGGGGCAUGCCGGUCCACCUCGAGGGAAGCAGGUCUUCACCUCUCAAGACAGGUGCCAUCAAGUGUGGGCAGCUCCAAGGGGCUGGUUCUGGCCUUGAUGACUGCCUCUCAGUUUCGCUGAGC